GCAGAAGUUGAAAGAUCCUGUGACAAGCGACUUGACCAUUGCUUCCAGCAAGAUCAGAGCAGCUAGGAGACAGAAAGCUCCCGAAGCAGUUGACAAUGCAGAACGCCCGAGAACAUAUUGAGGGUUAGAGCAACUGAUUAGUGGUGGGAACAAUUAAAGCUGAGCAACCUAAAAUAACAAGCAGAAUUAGCAUGAGAAACAUGAUUGUGGCGUGUUCGGGUAUGAAAACAUAAAUCACACCAGUACCCAUUUGGAUUCCAAUGUUGACAAUUACAGUAAUGACGAGAAUGCACAGCGCAAUGAAGUUUGCAAACAUCUCGGACACUUACAUUGCUCCUAAAGAAGGCAUGAAAUUGCCCAUCACAGUGCAGAAGAGGAUGGUGCCACUAAGCUUGGUCAGCUGAUCCUGGCAGCGGGGCAUGGGCGUAUUGAGAUCGACGGGUAUUUUUGUGGCGAUGGCUAUAAGGGCCAAGGAAGUAGCGUUCAGUGAGAAGGUUCUAUUUGGGAACCAAAGCUUCUUGUGAUGGAAAGCACGAAAGGCAUCGUAGGCCAUGGCAAGGGUGCAUGCCAGAGAGGCUGCUGCUAUAUAGAGCCCGAUCCAUGGCAAUGGCUCACUGAAUUUGGAGUCGUCUAGGUGGCCGUUGCUGCUGCACCCAUGCAACCCCAUCUCUUCUACUACCUCAUUCUUCUUCACUCUGCUUCUAUGUUAAGAAGGAUUCGUGUUUAGUCAACACUUGUAACUGUUUAUUUAUUUAUUUUUUAAUAUAUAUUUGUUGUCUAUUGAA